UACGUAGGGGGCAAGCGUUGUCCGGAUUUACUGGGCGUAAAGAGCUCGUAGGCGGCCUGUCGCGUCGGAUGUGAAAGCCCGGGGCUUAACCCCGGGUCUGCAUUCGAUACGGGCAGGCUAGAGUGUGGUAGGGGAGAUCGGAAUUCCUGGUGUAGCGGUGAAAUGCGCAGAUAUCAGGAGGAACACCGGUGGCGAAGGCGGAUCUCUGGGCCAUUACUGACGCUGAGGAGCGAAAGCGUGGGGAGCGAACAGG
rnacentral:rRNA from 1 species